AGAGGUAUAAUUCAAGUGGUAGAGCGCAUGCUUAGCGUGCAUGAGGUCCAAGGUUCAAUCCCCAGUACCUCCU
rnacentral:tRNA from 1 species